GCAAGGGUAGCUCAGGCGGAAGAGCAUGAGACUCUUAAUCUCGGGGUUGUGGGUUCAAGCCCCACGUUGGGCA